UGGACCAAUGAUGACCAGUGGUAGUGUAUGAGUCAUGGAUGAUGGUACUCUGUGUCAAGAACUCUGAGGUCCAU